AUGAAAAAAAGCAUUGCCUUCUUUACUAUAUCUUGUAUUUAUCGUACUUUUUCCUUGGGGGCCUCUUUCUCAUUUAACAAAUGUCUGGAACUUAGGAUUAAGAAUUGGUGGAAUACCAGGCAAUCUGAAACACUCUUAACUGAUAUUCAAGAGAAAAGGAUUCUAGAAAGAUUCAUAGAAUUAGAAGAACUUUCUCUCUUGGACGAGAUGAUAAAAAGGGAAACUAAAGAUACGUGUACAAAAACCUCCUACAGGAAUACACAAGGAAAUAACACAAUGGGUCAAAAUAAAUAA
rnacentral:rRNA from 1 species